rnacentral:rRNA from 1 species
AAACCAAUACAUGCUUUUAAAGCAUGAAUGUUGGUGAUUUACAGUAACUUAGCAAAUCGCAUAGUGUAAACAGGCGAUAAGUCAUUCAAGUUUCUGACCUAUCAGCUUUCGACGGUAUGGUAUUGGCUUACCGUGGCAGUGACGGUUAACGGGGGAUUAGGGUUCGAUUCCGGAGAGGGAGCCUGAGAGACGGCUACCACAUCUAAGGAAGGCAGCAGGCGCGCAAAUUACCCAAUUCUAACAGCAUAAGAGAGGUAGUGACAAGAAAUAACAAUACAAGGUAUUUAAAAUGCUUUGUAAUUGGAAUGAUAGAAAUUUAAACACUUUUUAAAGUAUCAAUUGGAGGGCAAGUCUGGUGCCAGCAGCCGCGGUAAUUCCAGCUCCAAUAGCGUAUAUUAAAAUUGUUGCAGUUAAAAAGCUCGUAGUUGAAUUUCUGCUAAAAAUAACCGGUCGGCUUUUAAUAAAAGUGGUAUCCUGGUGUGUUUUUAGCAAUAGCGUCCUUUGAAAUGUUUUUUACUUUAUUGUAAUAAACCAUAUUCAGGAUUUUUA